GUGCCAGCAGCCGCGGUAAUACGUAGGUGGCAAGCGUUAUCCGGAUUUACUGGGUGUAAAGGGCGCGUAGGCGGGGAUGCAAGUCAGAUGUGAAAUCUAUGGGCUUAACCCAUAAACCGCAUUUGAAACUGUAUCUCUUGAGUGCUGGAGAGGUAGACGGAAUUCCUUGUGUAGCGGUGAAAUGCGUAGAUAUAAGGAAGAACACCAGUGGCGAAGGCGGUCUACUGGACAGUAACUGACGCUGAGGCGCGAAAGCGUGGGGAGCAAACAGGAUUAGAAACCCGCGUAGUCC
rnacentral:rRNA from 1 species